GCCUUCGUGUGUAGUGGUCAGCACACUUGUCGCGUAACCUAGAGGUCCGUGGUUCGAUUCUCGGCGAAGGCG
rnacentral:tRNA from 1 species